rfam:Schistosoma rodhaini strain Burundi genome assembly, scaffold: SROB_scaffold0010400
AUCCAACUGACGAGUCUCAAAUUGGUCGAAACACACGUCCUGGAU